UAACGCGUGAGCAACCUUUCCCAGACAGGGGAAUAACACACCGAAAGGUGUACUAAUACCGCAUAAGACCACGGUUUCACAUGGAACUGAGGUAAAAGAUUUAUCGGUUUGGGGUGGGCUCGCGUCCGAUUAGGUAGUUGGUGAGGUAACGGCCCACCAAGCCGACGAUCGGUAGCCGACCUGAGAGGGUGAUCGGCCACAUUGGGACUGAGACACGGCCCAAACUCCUACGGGAGGUAGCAGUGGGGAAUAUUGGGCAAUGGGGGGAACCCUGACCCAGCAACGCCGCGUGGAGGAAGAAGGUUUUCGGAUCGUAAACUCCUGUCCUUGGAGACGAGUAGAAGACGGUAUCCAAGGAGGAAGCCCCGGCUAACUACGUGCCAGCAGCCGCGGUAAUACGUAGGGGGCAAGCGUUGUCCGGAAUAAUUGGGCGUAAAGGGCGCGUAGGCGGCUCGGUAAGUCUGGAGUGAAAGUCCUGCUUUUAAGGUGGGAAUUGCUUUGGAUACUGUCGGGCUUGAGUGCAGGAGAGGUUAGUGGAAUUCCCAGUGUAGCGGUGAAAUGCGUAGAGAUUGGGAGGAACACCAGUGGCGAAGGCGACUAACUGGACUGUAACUGACGCUGAGGCGCGAAAGUGUGGGGAGCAAACAGGAUUAGAUACCCUGGUAGUCCACACUGUAACGAUGAAUGCUAGGUGU
rnacentral:rRNA from 1 species